rnacentral:misc_RNA from 1 species
UGUUUCUUUCAUUUCGGAGGUGGGCACCCUUUGCUGUGCCCCUCCUCUUACCACCACCACUACACUCCCCACAUACAUCCUAGCACCUCUCUUCGGGGUUGUGCCCCCCGCACCCCUGCGCGUAAGGACAAAUACGGAGAGAGAGAAAAAGUGAUGCAUAUCCUAGUACAGUCACUCAAGCCUAUGUUCCAUCGCCACCGCUGGCUUCCUCUCUCCCCUCCCCCCCACCCCCACCACCUCAUCACAAGUGCGCACACACACACGCACGUUUCUCAGCAUCUUCGUCUUUCGUUUGGAUCCUCCGCCUCGCCCCCCCCUUCCUCUCCCCCGGUGUGUUCGCCACCCUUCUUGGGGGUGAUUACAUCUCUGCGGAAAGAGCCUGCACGGCAGCACUCACUGCACCAUGAGCUUAGCCCGUCUGACGCGUGAGCGCAAGCAGCUCCUCGAGGCGCAGCAAUGCGGUGAAACGGCGCCGUCCACAAGCGCCAACACCACCGCCGCCUCCGUGAACUCCUUCAGCGCCGCGCAGGGACGCAUUCGCGCAGACAUGCAGAAGCUGGACGGGGUCAUGAGCGAAGUGAAGAUGGACUCGAUGGACUGGUACGUGGUGCACGUCGCCUACACGCCGGCGCGUGGCAUCUGGCAAGGUGGCACGUUCAACUUCCGCCUUGUUUUCUCCAACGACUUCCCCUACUGCGGCCCGAAGGUGCGAUACACCGGGCCGCGCCGCAUCUUCCACCCCAACAUCGAGGGCGACGACGGCAAGGAGGACUGGGGUGUGUGUCUCGGGAUUCAGACCGAGUGGCGGCCGACGUGCACCAUCAAGGACAUGGUGGUCGCGAUUGAGAUGCUGUUUGCGCUACCGAACUACGAUGACCCGCUCCCAGGCGUGGCGAAGACAGCGGCGCAGAUUCUGAAAGACGAGCCGAGUCGUUUUGAGCUGAUCGCGAAGCGGUGGAUGGGCGGCAACUACAUUAUCUAGGCAGGAUCAUCCCUUCCCCUUCCGCCUUCACGCGCUCAACCGCACGACUUGGCGGGCCUUCGCAGUGUCAUGUAGAUGUGUUAUGCGGGGCAGAGAUCGGAGGACUGCUAUUUUAUAUGGUAGGUCAUGCGCGGUGGUGUACAUCUUUCUCGCACGCUGCGAAGCAGCGAUUUGAACCUUCGCUAAGCACGCGCACGCAUGCGCGCACAAACAUGCGUGUUAGGAAAUGGGGGCGUAGCAGAGAGGGUUUGAGAGAGAAAAGGGGGAGUCGGCGCAGCGAGUAUCACAUGUUGCCUUCUUCCUUUUUGGUGUGGGAAAGGGUGUCCUCUUUGCCGUCGCCAGUUCGCUUUCUCGUCGCGGUCUCCCACCUCCGCCUCCGACCAGCCGGCAGCGGGUGCACCCACUCCACCCCUCCCUCCCUCCGCCCUUUUCUUCGUUGGGCGCAGUCAUUGUUCGACCGCCGCUCCCCUCUUGCCGUGGCUCUUUCUGCUCUGUUCGCGUAGGCAGCAGCGACUACGGCGGUGCCACCUCUGCUGCGUGCCGACGUCUUUUGAACGCCAGCGCUGUGUGGCGUGCACGCGCGUGUCGAUUGGCCUCUGCUCGAGUCAUGUCCGGGACCCUCUUUGUGGGGUAAAGGGACAAGGUCUCACGCGGCGGCUUGCUGUCUUGGUGCUGCUCUACCAGACCCCCCCCCUCACUCUGUCUGUUACGUGUCCGCAGUUCAUCGUGCUUUGCUGCAGCUGUUCUUGUACCGCCCCCCCCCCUCCUCCCUCGUCCCCGCGUGGGGUGCGCGACGCGACUGUCAGCCGAACUGCAAUC